GUUCAAAAAAUGCAUGGUAUAACCCCAGUUCCUGUUUUAACCGCAUGGAAGUCAAGAUUUAAAAAGAGGAAAUGGGAGGGACUAAGCAGCGGUGUGGAACCUGCACCCCUGGUAUGUGGGAGGACUCCUGUGGGGCUGCACACGGUUGGCAGCUUCAUGGCUUCAGAGCUGGUCUGUGCCACGCGAGAUCUCUUGUGCUCAGGAGUUUGUCCUUGACCAAGGCACAGAGAGUUCCGGUUGCCCAUCCCUUGCAAGCAGUUAUGAUUCUCAAAGCACUUCCUGUGCCAGCCUCUCUGCAUCCUCCCAGGGCCAAGCUUUAGUGAUCCCUCCACCUAUACUUUUGACAAGACAAAAC
rnacentral:lncRNA from 1 species